GGGCACAUGGUGUAGUUGGUUAUCACAUCCGCUUAGCAUUUUCACUUAUCGAAGGUACUGCGGGGGGUGCUGGGUUCAAUUCCCAGUGUGUCCA